rnacentral:rRNA from 1 species
ACGCUCGACACCUACAGGAGGCAGCAGUGGGGAAUAUUGCACAAUGGGGGAAACCCUGAUGCAGCGACGCCGCGUGGAGGAAGAAGGUCUUCGGAUUGUAAACUCCUGUUGUUGGGGAAAAAGAGGAUGGUACCCAACAAGGAAGUGACGGCUAACUACGUGCCGACAGCCGCGGUAAUCUGAGCGGGCUGGCAAGGC